UUCUGAAGACACAGAGGCAGUUACCAGCAGCCUGGGAACUGGGGCUGGGGCUGGAUAAGCGAUCUGGGUCGAGAAGGUCAGGAGGAAGUAGUAUCAGCAACAUCAGAGUCAGCAGUAAGGAACUAGGAAUGAAGGAUAAAUGAGGAACAAAGGACUCAAGCAGUUGGACAAUUUGGAAAAAUCAUAUACCUGAAAACCGAAGAGGACUUAGAAACAGAGGUGAUGUUAUGACCAUGUUGGAGAGCUGGAAUAAGAGGAAGAGGGAAGGUAUCGUCAUGAAUCCUUCUACCCUGAAUGUGAAUAAUUCAAGGAUGGAUAAUGGGAACACCAGAGAAACUUGGAAUCAUUUCACCUUAGACCAGAAAAUGUGGUUUCAUUUGUAUGUGAGUAGAUAUUGCCAUGAAGGAAAGACGGUAGCUGAGGGACCAGAUUAUACAGAACAAGUCACGAAGCCAAAAAAGAAGAGAUAUCUCAGACCAAGAGACAAGUUGUAAGCUAGAAGAUUAUAAAUCCUUAGCUUUGUCAUUUAGAUGUAAUUUUGGAAUAGAUAUCCUUUUAGUCCUUCUGGUUCUGGUAGUAAGUUUUAAGCUCCCAAUUGCUCUCCUCCAGGCUUCAUAUUCAUUUAGCCUAUAGCUCUUCUAUACAUUCAGAUUGUUUUAUUAUCUUAGCAACCACUAUUUUCACUCUGGAGUUGGUUGUCUAUUAUUUUUGUUUUAAGUAAUUUUUUAAAAAUUAAUCUCUAUUUCUUUGUUUGUUACAUUAAAAUGCCCAGGUAACA